CUCUACCGGUGUUUCGUCUGCUGCGUGUUUGGUUCCCUGGUGUUUCCCCGCGUAGGCUGAACGUGACGACAGUUUAUCUUCACUCUUUCUGAGUGGUGGUGGAUAAAUCCACCUGGCGCCCAACCGUUACGCUACCCCACUACCGCCACAAUCUUCAAUGACCUUUGCAUAGCCUCCACCAACGGCCCCAUCAUCAUAUGGAAAGAUCAGAAAGAUCUUUGCAGGUCUUCACCUUGAUGUGGAUGGCUGUAUCAUCAUGCCAUUCCCAGAGGGUUACCAUCCCCCCUGGCUUCCCUCCCCCUCCACCACUGCAGCAGAG